GGCCUCUGCAUCCCCUCCUGCCUUCAGGUUCCUGCCCUGUUUGAGUUCCUGCCCUGACUCCCUUCAGUGAUGGAGUAUGGCCUGUGAGUUGUAAGGGGAAAUAAAUCCUUUCCUUCCCAAGCUGGUCUUGACCAUGGUAUUUUAGCAUAGUAAUAGCAACCCCAACUAAAACAUAUGAUAAACAAUAUGUUUUAUGAUUGUUGCUGACAAUUUUUUAUUACUUACUGUUAGGUACACAUGCAUACUUGUGGAAGAUAGAGCACAGCUUCCCGGUGUCCGUUCUCUCCUUCUGCCAUGUGGGUUCUGGGAGUUGAAUUCAGGUCGGGUUUGACAGUCAGUUCCUUUGUCUGGUAAACCAUCUCACCAGCUUUAUAGGCAGCAUUUUCCUUGCUAAACAACCUUAGGCAGGUUGGCUGACGACCGCUAAUAAUUUGUACCUUGCUUCCUUCUGUGGAACAUGGGCUGACUGUAGUUUCUGCCACUCAUGAAGUUAAGAUGAGCGAUCCGUUGGUGGUGGUGGCGCUGAUGGUGGGGUGGGGGUUAAAUUUGCCGUCAUCAUCCCUCCAGAUGAUGAGCUCUCUCUUCUCUUCACCCUGUGCCCUUUUCUACCUCUGCAGACCACAGGGAUGGGCACAUGCUGUGAUUUCAGGUCACAGGACAAUGCCAGGUCUGACUGACCUUUGACCCCAGAAUAGAGUAUUGAUUCAGCUGUUGGUCUGAGUCAUCGGUGGCUGAUGUCAAAAGCAGAGGAGUCCUGGGUCCUGGGUCCCCAGAUGUGAUGAUGUGUGUGGGUCUGGCUGCUGGCAUGGACAGAGUAGUAUCGUGAGUGCACAUGUUCUGUGCUGGCCAGGUGAGAACCAGAGGCCCACUGAGAAGCACAAUGCUGGGUAUCAGGUAUGACAGGUGGUGGUUGUCAACAUGAAUGUUGUAGUCCAAGACCAGAUGUGCAGAAUCUGCUGACAUUUUUUUCCCUGGUCAGCUGGGCUGGGAGAGGUCAUCAACUUGCAAGGCUGUGGGUUCUCCAGGACUAGGCCAGAUGCCCAAAACUGAUCCUAAGAGUGGAUGGUGGGGCUGUGGAAUGAUGCUGAGGAUGGGGAACAGACAGUGAAUAGGGAGCUUUGAGAGGUCUCCCAUCCACUAGGACACUGGUUCAGGGUCUGCUGAGUCAAGUCCCAGGUUCUGAUUUGGGGUAGAGGGCAAAUAUGGACACCGGAUCCCGCCUGUGUGCCUCAGGAGGUCCCUUCAUUUCUCUGAGCCUCUGGUUCAACAAACUCAGACACACUACCCCGUGAGUGAGUGAAUUUACAUGAGCAGGUGCCUGGUAGGUUUCCCACUGUGACACAAUGGGGACACAUUAUGACACAGUGCUCUACCAACAGCAGUACAGAGCUGCAGCUGCUACUUCCCAGGGACAGGAUCUUUCUCCUGUGCCAGAGUGUUUUACCACUGUCUGUCACUCAGUCACCUAGUCAUUCAACAGAGACUUACAGCACACCCCCAGAGUGCCAGCCACAGGCCUGAUUCACAGCACCUCGGCCCUUACACCUGGAAAAGCACUGUCGAUCAUUUAGAGAUGACAAAGACGGGAGCCGUAAGAGGCGAGAGUAGAGCUAUUUCAUCGUGUUAUUGUAGGGCUUGCCUUUGAUGGAUCAGCUUCCGCGGAGGGGAAGGGCCUUCGGAUGGAUAAGCCUUCCUUUUCCAACAGAACAAGAAGAAGCCCCAACAGCAGAAGGACAGGAGGCUCUUUUGUCAUCUCCCCUCUCCCAUGUGACAAGCCUGGGUAUCAGGAUGCAGCAAAGAAGUAUUGCUCCUCAGGAUGACCUUGAACCUGAGUAGGAAGAUGAGUCAUUCAAAUGAUGGAAACUAGAGAACAUAAAACCAUCAUGGCCUAGUCAACCAUGCACAAGGUUCCAGAGCCACCUUUCUGAGCCAAUACACUUUCUUUGUCUCUCUAUGACUGUCCUCAGUUUCCUGUGAGCAAGAUGUGUGUAUGUGUGUGUGUGUGUGUGUGUGUGUGUGUGUGUGUGUGUGUGUGUAUGUAUGUGUAUAUAUAUCCAAAAUCCCUCUUUAGUAUCUGAAGAGCCCAUGAAUAUAUGGCUACUGCAUUUGCCAGCCUUCUGCACCAUGCUGGUUCUGGCUGGCUGGGACAGAGGACCAUCACUGGGUAUUCUUCCUCUGGCUCUUCUGUUUCAUUUAGGUAAACCAUAUCCAUGCUGAAAGUGCAAUUCAGUUCUCUCUAAGCAGAGGGAGAAAGAGACAGGGCAUUCGGUAUCUUUAUCAACACUGAGUGCUUCUGCCACCUUAAAUCAAUUAAUUCCUUCUGAUGAUUCACCGAGUACCUGGCCGUGUACCCGCUGCGCUGGGGCACGUUAACAGGCCAAGAGGAAAUAGCACAUGAGUCUUUCAAGGUUGUGCUGACUUAUUUCUCCUUCCACCCCAUUCUUACCUCUGGUCAACAUAGUCUUGGUGUCCUGUACUUGCUCCAAACCCCUCCCCUUUACAUUCCCAGUGUGCAGCACUAGACAGAAGACAUUGUCUGGCAAGUUGUGGCAAGCUUUCAGAGAAGAGUUGAGUCAAUCUCUAGGAUGGGGAGCCCAGGCAGCAACAAACUGGUCAUCCACACGCUUCCUCUAUUGGUGAGUCCACUGCCCUGCCUAAGUCUAGGGUUUUUGUUUUUGUUUUUGUAUGAAAGUCUCAUUCUGUUAAGAGAAAGGUGACAAGGAGCCAGCAUCAUUUGGGGAGGCCCGGGGAUGUUCUCAUUCUUGUGUUAGUGA